rnacentral:rRNA from 1 species
GAUGAACGCUGGCGGCGUGCCUAACACAUGCAAGUCGAACGAAGCGCUUUCCCUGAAACUUUUCGGAGCGGAGGGGGAAGCGGCUGAGUGGCGGACGGGUGAGUAACGCGUGGGCAACCUGCCCCACACUGGGGGACAACAGCCGGAAACGGCUGCUAAUACCGCAUAUGCGCACAGCUCCGCAUGGGGCAGUGCGGAAAGCUCCGGCGGUGUGGGAUGGGCCCGCGUCUGAUUAGCUAGUUGGCGGGGCAGCGGCCCACCAAGGCAGCGAUCAGUAGCCGGCCUGAGAGGGCGGACGGCCACAUUGGGACUGAGACACGGCCCAG